rnacentral:lncRNA from 1 species
ACAUUAUGCUUGUUCCUUUCUUUUUUUUUAUAUCUCACAAUUUAGAAUGGACAACAACAACUGCCCCCUAAAUGACUCCAUGGAUUGUCAGGACAGCCCUAUGCCAUUGAUUGAAGAGCUGAUUUUAAACGACUUAUCCACUGAUUAUUCAGUUGAUGAAUUUAAUUUUGUACCAAUGUUCUAACAGAGCUGUCCUGGUUUUGGAGGGAGUUUGUUAAAACACCCACUUUCUUCUGGAUGUUGUUUUUGUACAAUAACUGACUUCACUGCUGCCUUAGUCAGUAUUACAAACUGCAAUAAUAAGAAUGAUAAUGCUAUUUU